CUUUCGAAAGCGAGAAGUCAUUGUUAUUAUCGUUUUCUUUAUUUGUCUUCGCCAGAAAUAUAGUAAACGGUUGUAAGGCGAAACAACAAACAGCAACAGGUGGGAAAUUUGCUGUCGCUGGUCAGUAAAUUGCGGGCGCCAGCGAAAAUUUUGUUUUAAAUUAUUAAAAUGAGCAAAAGCAAGUUUUUGGGCUUCUCGUUUGGGAAGAAAACAGUGGUUGUGCAAGAAUUUAAGUUCGUUUAUUCAAAGGCUAUUGAAAAUGUCCUGGAUAAAAGACUUUAAACUGAAAUCGGAC